rnacentral:lncRNA from 1 species
GGCCCCUUCCCUAACGAAAGAUACACCAUUAUGGACUAUGAGGCGCUGUAUCCCUCCAUCUAUCAAGCCCCAGCGGCACUUAUGCUAUACCGCUUUAUCAUGGACCACUUACCAGAGAAUGCUGCCCAUGCUCAUACGAUUAGGGAGAUUUGCCACCUCAUUACCUACAAUUCGUAUUACGUUUUUCAAGGACGUUACUAUUUGCAAACCAGGGGAGUUCCUAUAGGGGGCCCUUUAGCAGGUGUUAUGGCAGAAUUGGUAAUUCGAUUUAAACAGUACAACUGAGUUUGUAGCAUAAUUCCAUCAACUUCUACAAAAUAUGAAAAAAUCAAAAUGGCAGCAUGAGAAGCAUAAAUAGUGCACCUUUAUACUCUAUGGUUUUACUAGCACAUUUUGUAAAAACAUUCAUUCCCAGAUUGUGGUUAAGAUAGUAGUUCAUUAGUAUAAAAGUUCAUAUGUUAAUAAUAAUGAAGAAUAAAAAAUUAACAUUUGUG